AUUUAGAGAGAAAGAACCCAAAAACAAAUCAAAAGGAUAUUAACCCAAUAAUACAAGAGGAAGAGAACGGAGGAUCACAACAAUUUGGGAUUUUUCCACUUGAGGAUUUGGAGAUGCUGAUUUUUUUAGUGAGAAGUAUUUGAGAAUUGUGGUCCGUUCUCCACUAAUCUACCAAGCUUAGUCAACAACAACCUAUAAACGAGUAAUUUAGUUUUCCACAGAUAGACCCGUCUCACUUUUCUCUCUCUCUCUCUCUCUCUCUCUAUAUAUAUAUAUAUAUAUAUAUAUAUAACGUGUAUAGAUUUCUUUCUCUAUCUCUAUAUAUAUGUAUACAUCAUGAGUACGGAUGCAUAUGAAGGAGGCAGCACGAGGACGACCUGGGGCGCAACGAUGACAGGAGAAAGGAAGAUCUUCGCCGGUGGAGUUGUAAGACGGGCCAAGGGAGGAGGAGACUCCUCGCCGUAUGAAUGAAUGGGUUCUAAAACCCACCUUUCAACCGCAUUUUUUUUUUAACCACAUUAGUGUUUUUUGAGCGAAGCUUUUUUAUUAAUUUUUUUUUUCUUUUCGGGACAAGAAAAAUUAUUAAAAAGAAAAUAAAAGAUCAUUACAUACGUUCUGAAUCAAAAGACACCCGUAAUAUUAUCAGUGAAGAACUGUUAGAAAAUCAUUCGACACUUAAACAUGUCAGAAUAGAGAAUUUGACAUGACCCACCGACAGAGAAAAAUCAGCAUUCGUCCAUCACUCAACACAUUUAUUUCGUUCGCGAUAGAAAUAUUAGAUCUGAAUUUGUCAGUUAUAAUGUAACAAAUGUUUGGUCGUACUGAUAAAGACCACAUGCGCAUUAAAAUCUUAUUUAGUUAAAAUAAUUAUUAUAAGUUAAAAAAAUUAAAAGUUAAUGUUCACACCAACAUUCAAUUUUCUUUUUUAGCAUAAGAAAAAAAAAAUAAAAAAAAAUGAGAGAUCAUCAUGCAUAUUUUGAGACAAGAGACAUUUAUAUAUUAUUACUGAAAAACUAUUGGAUAUCAUUCAAUAUUUGAGAACGAUAAUGAAGAUCUAUCGAUAGAAA
rnacentral:lncRNA from 1 species